rnacentral:rRNA from 1 species
AUUGAACGCUGGCGGAAUGCUUUACACAUGCAAGUCGAACGGCAGCACGGACCCCGGUCUGGCGGCGAGUGGCUAAAGGGUGAGAAAUCUAUCGGCACGUAUCCAAUAAUGGGGGAUAAGGUCUCCACAGGUUGGCUAAUACCGCAUACGUCAUACUGGAGCGAGCUAGGAACGUUCGGUCCGGGCGUUCCUGGCGCGGCCGGUAUCGGAUUAACUAGGUGGUGAGGUAUAGGCUCACCAAGGCGACGACCCGUAGCUGGGCUGAGAGGACGACCGGCCACACUGGAACUGAGACACGGUCCAGACUCCUACGGGAGGCAGCAGUGGGGAAUUUUGGAAAAUGGGCUAAAGCCUGAUCCAGCCAUUCAGCGUGAGUGAAGAAGGUCUUCGGGUUGUAAAGCUCUUUCGCAAGAGAAGAAAACUUACCCUCUAACAGAGGGUGAGGUUGACGGUAUCUUGAGAAGAAGCACCGGCGAACUACGUGCCAGCAGCCGCCGCCG